rnacentral:lncRNA from 1 species
CUCAAAUUUAAAAAGUAAUUGAAGAGGAGCUAGUAACUUGAUAAAGAGGAGAGAUAAGCUACUCACAGAAGAUGAAUCGAAGAAAAUGAGAGGCAAAGCUGAAAAGGAAGGUUACUAUGGCAACCAGAGAACUCACCUUUCCCCCACAGUGACAGUUAAGGUCAGAAGGAGCCCGGGGUCCCAGUUGGUGCCAUCGGAAUUGAAGAAAUCAGGACUCCAUCCAGGACACCAUGUUGCAUUCACUCAUCAUGUCUCCUCAAAUCUGUAACAGUUUUGCAGUCUUUCUUUAUUUUCCAUGACCUUGACAGUCUUGAGGAGUCCUAGGUCAUGAUGCUCAGUGCAAUUUUUUCUGUUUCUCUUGAAAACAGUCUGCCCACUUUGAAAGAGUUCCAGCAUGAAAUAUAGAGUGAUGGAUCAAGCACCACUGCUCCAGAUCUGGGAAGCACGACCGUGACAGCAUCUGAGAGACAGCAGAGAUGUAUCUAUAAGAAAAUCAAGGAAUCUGCUCUUCCCAGCCUCGCGUUCUCUUGAAUUCAUUUUUGUUCACAAACCUUGAAUAUAAACUUAUGUUUGAUUAUCGUUCACAUGUUUUGUGUGUGACAAUUUUUCUGAACUUGAGCAAAAAGUAAAAACCAACCACAACGGUUCACAUUCCCUAUUAUUAUUUUUUUGUUUUUCCAGCUGAUCAAGAGGCAGAAGAAAAGUGAGAAAGACAUUGAGGACAAACAUUUAGUUAACACACCCACACAAACCCAGCAUUGGAGGGAACAUCCUUCACUUGGGGUGACAAGUGGUGAUGACUUGUCACAGUUGUCUCAGUCUGAAGGAGACCAGGCAGGUGUAUCAUCACACAGCUUCUGCGGUGGAUGCACAGAGCCUCUAGAAGUGCUCCCAGUUCAGAGAGAGGAGCAGGGUGUGGAGAGAGCCCUCAGGCCCCCAGCCCCAGCACCGGCCUCAAGGAGAGGCGAUAAGAGGCCAGGAUGCGGUCAGGUGGGACUGCAGGUUAGGAAGGACCUUGCAGACUUCGUUGGGAUUUUGGCUCUAAUUCUGCAUGACAUGGGAAGCCCUGGGAGUAUUCUGAGCAGAGGACGGAGAGUGUCUCACAGUGUCUGCGGUGUCUGGAUGAGACCCUUAGGGACACGGCCAGCAGCAGGGGGACAGGGAAGAGCACACAUUUAGCAGCAGGGCAGCAGCCGUGGAGAUGGAAAGCAGGCAGAUUCUGGACAUGCUUUGAGGGCAGAGCCUGUAGGAUUUCCUAAGGGACUGACUGUGAGGUGGGAGAGAAAGAAGGGAGUGGAGAAUGGCUCUGGUGAUUGUUUGUUUCUUUGGUUUGAACCUAAGUAAUUCUAGUAAAUGGAAUUCUCAUUUACUGAAUUGGAAAGACUUCAGGAAAAGCAUGAUUGAUGAGGAGAGGAAAGGAGCAGGAUUUGGACACGUUAAGUCUGAGACGCUGAUUAAAUGUCUUAUUAGGGAUGCCAAGCAGUUGGUUGGAUAAAGGAGUCUGAGGUGAGGGGAGAGACUGAAAGGCAGCAGUAUGAAGGGAUGGAGUCAAGAGAGAGAGAACAGAAAAUGGGCUGCAGUCUUUGUCUGAGAGCGCUCUGACAAUAAAGUUUGGGGUGAUGAAGACAAGCUGAUAAAGGACGUGGAUAUGCCUGUCUCCGUCUAUUUGAGCUGCUAUAACAAAUGAUGAACAACAGAAAUUUAUCUUUCAUGGUUCUGUGGGCUGGCAGUCUGGGGGGCCAGCAUGGUUGGGUAAGACCCCUCUUCCUUCUC